UUACCAGGCCUUGACAUGCAGAGAACUUUCCAGAGAUGGAUUGGUGCCUUCCGGGAACUCUGACACAGGUGCUGCAUGGCUGUCGUCAGCUCGUGUCGUGAGAUGUUGGGUUAAGUCCGUAACGAGCGCAACCCUUGUCCUUAGUUACCAGCACGUUAUGGUGGGCACUCUAAGGAGACUGCCGGUGCAAACCGGAGGAAGGUGGGGAUGACGGUCAAGUCAUCAUGGCCCUUACGGCCUGGGCUACACACGUGCUACAAUGGUCGGUACAAAGGGUUGCCAAGCCGCGAGGUGGAGCUAAUCCCAUAAAACCGAUCGUAGUCCGGAUCGCAGUCUGCAACUCGACUGCGUGAAGUCGGAAUCGCUAGUAAUCGUGAAUCAGAAUGUCACGGUGAAUACGUUCCCGGGCCUU
rnacentral:rRNA from 1 species